rnacentral:rRNA from 1 species
GACGAACGCUGGCGGCGUGCUUAACACAUGCAAGUCGAACGGAAAGGCCCUGCUUUUGUGGGGUGCUCGAGUGGCGAACGGGUGAGUAACACGUGAGUAACCUGCCCUUGACUUUGGGAUAACUUCAGGAAACUGGGGCUAAUACCGGAUAGGAGCUCAUGCUGCAAGGUGGGGGUUGGAAAGUUUCGGCGGUUGGGGAUGGACUCGCGGCUUAUCAGCUUGUUGGUGGGGUAGUGGCUUACCAAGGCUUUGACGGGUAGCCGGCCUGAGAGGGUGACCGGCCACAUUGGGACUGAUCUACGGCCCAGACUCCUACGGGAGGCAGCAGUGGGGAAUAUUGCACAAUGGGCGGAAGCCUGAUGCAGCAACGCCGCGUGCGGGAUGACGGCCUUCGGGUUGUAAACCGCUUUCGCCUGUGACGAAGCGUGAGUGACGGUAAUGGGUAAAGAAGCACCGGCUAACUACGUG